GGGGGGAUAGCUCAACGGAAGAGCGCUUUCUUAUGCAGGAAAGAGGUUGCAGGUUCAAAUCCUCGCUCCCUCCA
rnacentral:tRNA from 2 species